UUUGUCGCGUUGUUCGUGAAAUCUCACGGCUUAACUGUGAGCGUGCGGGCGAUACGGGCAGACUUGAGUACUGCAGGGGAGACUGGAAUUCCUGGUGUAGCGGUGGAAUGCGCAGAUAUCAGGAGGAACACCGGUGGCGAAGGCGGGUCUCUGGGCAGUAACUGACGCUGAGGAGCGAAAGCGUGGGGAGCGAACAGGAUUAGAUACCCUGGUAGUCCACGCCGUAAACGGUGGGUACUAGGUGUGGGUUUCCUUCCUUGGGAUCCGUGCCGUAGCUAACGCAUUAAGUACCCCGCCUGGGGAGUACGGCCGCAAGGCUAAAACUCAAAGAAAUUGACGGGGGCCCGCGCAAGCGGCGGAGCAUGUGGAUUAAUUCGAUGCAACGCGAAGAACCUUACCUGGGUUUGACAUGCACAGGACGCCGGCAGAGAUGUCGGUUCCCUUGUGGCCUGUGUGCAGGUGGUGCAUGGCUGUCGUCAGCUCGUGUCGUGAGAUGUUGGGUUAAGUCCCGCAACGAGCGCAACCCUUGUCUCAUGUUGCCAGCGGGUAAUGCCGGGGACUCGUGAGAGACUGCCGGGGUCAACUCGGAGGAAGGUGGGGAUGACGUCAAGUCAUCAUGCCCCUUAUGUCCAGGGCUUCACACAUGCUACAAUGGCCGGUACAAAGGGCUGCGAUGCCG
rnacentral:rRNA from 1 species